GAUGAACGCUGGCGGCGUGCCUAAUACAUGCAAGUCGAGCGAACAGACGAGGAGCUUGCUCCUCUGACGUUAGCGGCGGACGGGUGAGUAACACGUGGAUAACCUACCUAUAAGACUGGGAUAACUUCGGGAAACCGGAGCUAAUACCGGAUAAUAUAUUGAACCGCAUGGUUCAAUAGUGAAAGACGGCUUUGCUGUCACUUCUAGAUGGAUCCGCGCUGCAUUAGCUAGUUGGUAGGUUAACGGCUUACCAAGGCAACGAUGCGUAGCCGAGCGGAGAGGGGGAUCGGCCACACUAGAGCUGAGACACGGUCCAGACGCCUGCGGGAGGCAGCAGUAGGGAAUCGGCCGCAAUGGGCGGAAGCCUGACGGAGCAACGCGGAGUGAGAGAUGAAGGUCUUCGGAGCGUAAAACUCUGUUAUUGGGGAAGAACAAAUGUGGAAGGAACUGUGCACGUCUUGACGGUACCUAAUCAGGAAGCCACGGCUAACUACGUG
rnacentral:rRNA from 1 species